rnacentral:rRNA from 1 species
GACGAACGCUGGCGGCGUGCUUAACACAUGCAAGUCGAGCGGUAAGGCCCUUUCGGGGGUACGACGAGCGGCGAACGGGUGAGUAACACGUGGGUGACCUGCCCUCAGCUCUGGGAUAAGCCUGGGAAACCGGGGUCUAAUACCGGAUAUGACUCCAUGACGCAUGUUGUGGGGUGGAAAGCCUUGUGCGGCUGAGGAUGGGCCCGCGGCCUAUCAGC